rnacentral:rRNA from 1 species
UCCCUAUGGGGUGCAGCAGGCGCGAAACCUCCACAAUGCGCGAAAGCGUGAUGGGGUUACCCCGAGUGCCGUCCGUUGAGGAGGGCUUUUCUCCAGUGCAAGGAGCUGGAGGAAUAAAGGGGGGGCAAGACUGGUGUCAGCCGCCGCGGUAAUACCAGCUCCCUGAGUGGUAAGGACGAUUAUUUGGCUUAAAGCGUCCGUAGCCGGCUUAGUGAGUCUUUUGUUAAAUCCAAUGAUUUAAUCAUUGAACUGCAAGAGAUACUGCUAUGCUAGAGGACGGGAGAGGUCGACGGUAGUCCAGGGGUAGGGGUGAAAUCCUAUAAUCCUUGGAGGACCACCAGUGGCGAAGGCGGUCGACUAGAACGUGCCUGACGGUGAGGGACGAAAGCUGGGGGAGCGAACCGGAUUAGAUACCCGGGUAGUCCCAGCCGUAAACGAUGCGGGCUAGGUGUAGGGGCAGCUACGAGCUGCUCCUGUGCCGCAGAGAAAUUGUUAAGCCCGCCGCCUGGGGAGUACGAUCGCAAGAUUGAAACUUAAAGGAAUUGGCGGGGGAGCACCACAAGGGGUGAAGGCUGCGGUUUAAUUGGAUUCAACGCCGGGA